rnacentral:lncRNA from 1 species
UAUCAGUCCUUUGGAUCACAAUCUUUCCUCUCCCCAUCUCUUGAUUUAUAAAUUUCUAUUUUUUUCAUCAAGAAUAAAAAAAAAAAUAUUCAAGAUACCCAAAAAGCUCAUGAGAAUAAUUCCAAGAAAUGAGCGAUAAUCAGCUAAAAAUAGAAAGUUUAGAAACUUAAGUGGAAUUCACAAAUUUAGGAACAACAAAAAUGAAAAAAAAAAAGACAAGACAA